rnacentral:misc_RNA from 1 species
GAUGAAGAACGUAGCGAAAUGCGAUACGUAAUGUGAAUUGCAGAUUUCAGUGAAUCAUCGAAUCUUUGAACGCACAUUGCGCCCGCUAGUAUUCUGGCGGGCAUGCCUGUUCGAGCGUCAUUACAACCCUCAGGCCCCCGGGCCUGGCGUUGGGGAUCGGCGGAAGCCCCCUGCGGGCACAACGCCGUCCCCCAAAUACAGUGGCGGUCCCGCCGCAGCUUCCAUUGCGUAGUAGCUAACACCUCGCAACUGGAGAGCGGCGCGGCCACGCCGUAAAACACCCAACUUCUGAAUGUUGACCUCGAAUCAGGUAGGAAUACCCGCUGAACUUAAGCAUAUCAAUAAGCGGAGGA